UGGGGAAUUUUGGACAAUGGGCGAAAGCCUGAUCCAGCAAUGCCGCGUGUGUGAAGAAGGCCUUCGGGUUGUAAAGCACUUUUGUCCGGAAAGAAAUCCUUGGCUCUAAUACAGUCGGGGGAUGACGGUACCGGAAGAAUAAGCACCGGCUAACUACGUGCCAGCAGCCGCGGUAAUACGUAGGGUGCAAGCGUUAAUCGGAAUUACUGGGCGUAAAGCGUGCGCAGGCGGUUUGCUAAGACCGAUGUGAAAUCCCCGGGCUCAACCUGGGAACUGCAUUGGUGACUGGCAGGCUAGAGUAUGGCAGAGGGGGGUAGAAUUCCACGUGUAGCAGUGAAAUGCGUAGAGAUGUGGAGGAAUACCGAUGGCGAAGGCAGCCCCCUGGGCCAAUACUGACGCUCAUGCACGAAAGCGUGGGGAGCAAACAGGAUUAGAUACCCUGGUAGUCCACGCCCUAAACGAUGUCAACUAGUUGUUGGGGAUUCAUUUCCUUAGUAACGUAGCUAACGCGUGAAGUUGACCNCCUGGGGGAGUACGGUCGCAAGAUUAAAACUCAAAGGAAUUGACGGGGUCAUAGCUGUUUCCU
rnacentral:rRNA from 1 species